GACAGAGGUGUCGAGCGUUAGGCGGAAUCACUGGGCUCAAAGCGUGUGUAGGCGGAUCGUUAAGUGCCUUGUGAAAUCCCACGGCUCAACCGUGGAACUGCUCGGCAUACUGGCGAUCUUGAGCCACUUAGGGGCUACCGGAACAAAUGGUGGAGCGGUGAAAUGCGUAGAUAUCAUUUGGAACGCCAAUGGUGAAAACAGGUAGCUGGGAGUGUGCUGACGCUGAGACACGAAAGCCAGGGGAGCAAACGGG
rnacentral:rRNA from 1 species